ACAGCAGCCGCCGCGGGAAUACAGAGGGUGCAAGCGUUAAUCGGAAUUACUGGGCGUAAAGCGCGCGUAGGUGGUUAGUUAAGUUGGAUGUGAAAUCCCCGGGCUCAACCUGGGAACUGCAUUCAAAACUGACUGACUAGAGUAUGGUAGAGGGUGGUGGAAUUUCCUGUGUAGCGGUGAAAUGCGUAGAUAUAGGAAGGAACACCAGUGGCGAAGGCGACCACCUGGACUGAUACUGACACUGAGGUGCGAAAGCGUGGGGAGCAAACAGGAUUAGAUACCCGCGUAGUCCCUGUCUCUUAUAC
rnacentral:rRNA from 1 species